UGAAGCUUGAUAGACCAUGCUCAGCAUCCAUCACAUCACAGGGAAAGGAGGAAAAAACCAUGGAGAGACAGAAGCCACAUUGUCCUUCUCAUCCAGCGAAGCAGGACCACGCAAGGUGGGUGCGGCUUGGAGAAGAGCAGCAAAUGCCAUCUUCCCAAAUGAAACAGUAUCCGUAACACCAAAGAAUAUUGGCAUCAGAGGUGAAAAAUUCCACAAGCAAGUCCACAGAUCAGAAACUCUUGCUUUGUGUGUGUGUGUGUGUGUG